CGUUGCGCGACUUGGCACAACCACUGCAUUAGCUUCUGCAACACCCCCACAUACAGCCCACCCUUCAACGACGAAGGUGGGGCUUUCCCGAGAGAACGGGACCAGGACAAAGGCGUCCUCGCUAGGCAACUAGCGGGACGCC
rfam:Pseudomonas brenneri strain RGCB 108 Contig002, whole genome shotgun sequence.